UUUUCAACUUCAACACAACUGUCUGAAACAGAACUGAAGCCGCAGGUUUGACCGCACAAAGAACACAUUAAACAACACACGAAAGUCACCUGCAGCAACAGGAAGCGGCCUAUAGCGGCUCGACUCACCUGAGCUCGAGAAACACCUUCUGGACGAGCCCGCAAGAAAAAGCUCCCUUCUGUUGGGUGGAAGCGUUUUAUUCUGAAAGCCGGAAAUGCGAGCCGAGUGGUUUACGCUCUGCCUGUGACGUCAGGACGCAGGCAGUCAAAGACAGUUUGUUGUGAAGAUGAGUCACUCUCUCAAACAUUAAACACCGUCUCUGUGCUGGAUUCCAGCGGCAGUGUGUUCUUGCAUUUCACCACACCUUUCUUGGGAACUUUCCCCGGAGACCGAGACCCUUCUGCUGGACUCAGGAGAGACUAAUUAUAGUUUCUGUUCUCUACUUCCAGCUGUCGAGAAAAGACUGAUUUCUCCAGUGUGUACCCACAGGAAAUUGUGCCUCCUGAUUUCAGUGACUUGGCCGCGCUGCACUUUUCAUUUCGAGAUUGAAGCUUUUGAAGCAGACUGGACGAACAGGUUCACCUCUACUGUCUUUAUGAGAGGGAGGAACAUUUGUCACUUCCGGCCGCCAUCCUUGUUCCGAGCUGAAAUACGAUGCAGAUAAAUAUCUUUGACUUACUGGACUAACUGUUGAUCUGAUCAGCUGGAGCUCAGAAGCUGCAGGAUCAUCCUCAUCAUCAGCCCCCCCCCGUUGCUUUUUGGCGGAAACAGAUCGGUGUCCGGGGCUCGAAGUUGUGCUGGAGACCAAGCGGAGUUUUAACGGACCCCUCCACUUCAGGCUGGUGAAGGACCGGAACGUAGCAACUCUGGACUACUACUUCGCCCUGGCCCACACGGUCCGGGACCAGCUUGUGGCCCGCUGGAUCCGCACCCAGCAGUACACUAACGAGAAAGACCCCAAGAUGGUGAUCCGCAACAUCGCUGCCUCUGGAAAGUUCUCCAGCAACCGGACCAUCUCCCUGUACGCUCAGAGUCAACCAUCAGGCGUGAAGAUCUCAUCGUCCAAUGAACCGCUGUUUGAGUCCUGAUCCACCACAGAACACCCAAAAACUGGAACUUAGGUCGCUCAGAGGACGACGCAACUCUGAGACAGCUCCUCUGAGCCGAGUGCUAGUUUCAAUUUAUCCCAAAUGAUGAUGAUGGUGGUGAUGAUGGUGGUGGUGAUGAUGGUGAUGGUGAUGAUGAUGGUGAUGAUGGUGGUGGUGAUGAUGGUGAUGGUGAUGGUGGUGAUGAUGGUGAUGGUGAUGGUGAUGGUGAUGAUGGAGGUUUUGUUGCUGGUACCUGAGGAUGUUUGGCAGCUCUGGGCUCCUGUAGAUGAACUUGUGCUUGUAGGCCAGCGAGGAGGGGAAAGGAACAAACUGGACUUUGUGACCGCUGAGGCUCUUCGACUGGGAGGCCAUGUGGUACAGCUGCAGGAGGAAGAGGAGGA